ACUUGCAAUCACAUCUCCAAGCUCUCAUUGUUGCAGAAGUACAGAGCUUUGGCUAUUGGAAGAAGAAAGUAUAGCUUCCACAAGCAAAUGAAAGGUCAAGUCUGUAAAGAAGUUUGGAACAGCCAUGCUAAAAGGCAGGCAGAGCAUUCCAGGCAGGAGGUUGUCAACCCUGCUUUGAUAUGGAUAUUUUUGCAGAAGAUCCCUAGUCAAGCCUUACCAACAGCACAAUCCUAACCAUAUCUACUCUGAAGUGAUCCACUGAACAGAGUCAAGGUCAAGCUUAUUAGAUUCACUUCAGCUCACAUCAAUUACACCCAUCAGUAAAGAUUAAUGCAGAAACAGGAUGGAAAAGAUUUACAGUAAACGUAUGCAAACAUUUGCAGAUCCUCUCACCCUGGCAAACGGCAACUUCUAUGUCACCACCAAAUGAAAAUGAUUGUCUCCCAUCAGCUAUUUUCAGUAUUGUCCACAAUAAGAAUGUUUGAGCUCAUUAAUACCCUUGGCAACAAAAGCAGUGGUAUAUUGAAGAAGUUUGCUAAUGGAGCAAAGCUGAAGGGCAUGGUCAAUGCAAAAGAAUACUGGAAUAUUAUACAGAAAAAAAACCCUAGAUGUUUGUAAAACAUGACUAUGCACACCAUGAAAUUCAAUACAGCAACAAAAAGGUUACGAACUUUGGUGGUAAUAAAAUUGUACUUGCAAGCAAGGCACAUGAUAAAUAAAUUCCUCUGGGUUCUGUAUUAGUUAAUUACAUUACUAGUAAAUCAGAAUGUCUGAGAGAUGCCUUGCUUCAAAUAUUUCAGAUGUUCAGAAUAUUUUUCUACAUCUUUCCUCCAUUUCACCUCUAAAAGACGGGCGAACUUGAACUGGGGUUUGAUCUUCAUACAGAGAUUUUGGAGCUUUAUAAAAUUAUGUAUGGUAUGGAGAAAGAGGGUUUUUCUAUCUUCUCGUAAUGCUAGAGCU